rnacentral:rRNA from 1 species
ACGGAAGGCAGCAGUCGGGAAUAUUGCGCAAUGGAGGAAACUCUGACGCAGUGACGCCGCGUAUAGGAAGAAGGUUUUCGGAUUGUAAACUAUUGUCGUUAGGGAAGAUACAAGACAGUACCUAAGGAGGAAGCCCCGGCUAACUAUGUGCCAGCAGCCGCGGUAAUACAUAGGGGGCAAGCGUUAUCCGGAUUUAUUGGGUGUAAAGGGUGCGUAGACGGAGAUACAAGUUGGUUGUGAAAUCCCUCGGCUCAACUGAGGAACUGCAACCAAAACUAUAUCCCUUGAGUGUCGGAGGGGAAAGUGGAAUUCCUAGUGUAGCGGUGAAAUGCGUAGAUAUUGGGAGGAACACCAGUGGCGAAGGCGGCUUUCUGGACUGUAACUGACGCUGAGGCGCGAGAGCGUGGGGAGCAAACAGGAUUAGAUACCCUGGUA